GGGAUGUGCCUUGAAGAGGUAGAGCUACUAUCUCAAAUCAAAGUUCUGGUAUUUGAGGACUCCAAAGUCUGUGUGCUUUCAGCAGCUGAUCUAAGCUAUCAAAGUGUCUGAGAUGGAUAGAUUGUCACUGUAUGUCCUUGCCAGAGAUACAGAAAUACUUCUAAGCGUUUGAGGGCCUCUUAGCCUGGCUCUAUCCAGCCAGGACUGCAGUGUUUUUAGGAGAAUAUAAGCAUUUGCAUUCAACCAUCCAGGAAAGUAAGACGACGCUUCUGGAAUUAUCUUUCCUACAGCGUGUCUCCCCACUGAUAGGACGUUUUGUUCCCUUCGCUGCUGUAGCUGCUGCUAACUGCAUUAACAUCCCACUGAUGAGACAAAGGUAAGAUGAAAUAUGUGCACUGGGCAAGAGAAUAGAGUUUAGAAAGGACGUGAAUUCUGAGCUCUGCUUUGAAAUACUCUGGAAUGGCUGACCCGUUGGGUUUUCACUUACUGAAGUGGGCCGAAGCAGAGGUGUGUCUCUAGCCUACACCCUCUGCAAAGAGAGAAUUCUGUAUGAUCGAGACCAGAGAGAAAAACCAAGCGUUCCUUGAGUUUUCCUUGGAAUUUUCUUACGGUGAUUUCAGUCUCUUAGAACGGAUAGGAAUAAAAGGAGAAAAAAAAGAGUGCGCAUUUAUGGAUGGAUAACAAACCAAAGCAAUAACAGGAAUUGGGCUCCCAUCGUUAGGAUCCAAAGCUAAUGAAUAUCCCACAGGGCUGUGUUGCAAUGACUUCACUGCUUGAGUUCACUCAAAAACAGUAUGUACUGUAUCUAUUUCUGAUUUAGAAAGUUGUUCAAAUCUGUACAGGAACAUAGAAAUCAACCUCGCCUUUGAGCUGGCAUAUCCACCCCUCAAAUCUAUCAUUAUUGAAAGGUACAUCCGUGAGGGGUGAGGGGGGCACUUGUGUUAUUUUCCCUUCCUGUCUAUCACGGGAGGCUUGAACCUGUUCGUGGUAUUUAAAAAUAGGCUUAUCAGUGCCAAAAAAUGACACAUGAGUGGGAAACUGGGUGAAGGAGGCACUUGAUCUCUCUCAACAGAGUCCUCCUUCGGGAUGCUCCCCGAAGGCAUCUGUGAAUCCCUGUGUGUGUGUGUGUGUUCCAUCCUUCAGGGAGCUGAAGGUUGGUAUUCCUGUCACUGAUGAAAAUGGCACUCGCUUGGGAGAAUCGACCAACGCAGCAAAGCAAGCCAUCACGCAGGUGGUCAUCUCCAGGAUCCUCAUGGCAGCCCCGGGCAUGGGUGAGUGAGCUUGGUGGUCCUGCCUUGUAGUUCAUUCCAAGCUUUUAUGUGUCGGUAAACGGAACAGCAAACACAAUUCCCCUUUGUGAAAAUUGCCUUCUGAUGGAGGAGCCAGGAAUGACUAAAUAAAAUAUGCUCUACAAAUGCUUGGGGCUUUCAAAAGUGUCCCAGAUAUUGGAUUUGUUUGGGUUUUGGAACAUUUACACAUAUAUAACCAGCUUCCUUGAGGAUAAGGUCCAAAGUUAAAUUUGAAGUUUAUUGCUGAUACAUAUACAUCUUAUACGUGUGGCCUACACGUACAAUAAUAAUUUCAUGCAAUAUUGCUAAUGGUUUCAAAAUACUAUAGGUGUGUGUCCCAGCUGAUGUGUUGUGUGACUUGAGAGUGGCUGAGGACAUCAUUUGGUUUUCAACAAGUUUCUGAUUUGGGAAGAUUUCAGAGCUGAGAGCUAAGGAAGGGGGAUGGUAGGGAUAGAAGAAGCAAGGCUGGCAGGCGAGGGACCGGGAAGACAUGGUGAAUCAGAGGUCCAGCGGGCAUCAGCGGGGAGGCAGGAGCUUGCCAAGUGUGUGGGAGGCACUCUGUAAAGUCAGGUGCAGCUGGAGGAGAGAGGGGGCUUUAUGAAGCCUCAAAGACUGGAGUCAGCUCCUGGAGCCAACCCUGGGGUUGGGUACUGGGACAUUCCAAGCUCUGAGAAGUGGAGGACCAUGCCCAGUUUUGAACAUGGUAAUUAUGUGAAUGUGGGUGCUGGGUGAGACUGGGUUAAAGGGGUGCUGCAGGGGUGAGUGGAGACUGUUCAGGAGGCUGUCUCAGCACCACAGGAAGCAAAUCAUGGUCACGCUGAGGACAGCUUUUAGAAAAUGUGUGCCUGACCACUAGCCUGGUAACUAUAUGGUGUAGGGUCAGCAUGCACUGAGCGAACAUCUGGGUCAUAGUAAGACCCUUUGAGAAUGUCCAGUCUACCCAGUGGGCUGCUCAGAGGGCCUAGAGAAGGUACUCAGACACUGAGAAUCACAUGGCCUGGGAGUGACAGCGUUCUCUGCAGGAAAAACAAAGGAAGAGAGAGAGCCAGGAGUUAAUGUGCCUUUACUUCAUCACCUAACCUCGGUGUAGACAGCACUUGGCUAUUAGGAGACGCUCUCGCACGAUGCAUGUCUGCCAGCUGCUGCCUGGCUUGCAUGCUGAUUUGUUUGACUGUUGUCACGUGAUACACUGAGCUGGCUAGUUUGAAUGAGCAACAGAAGUUGAAGAGAAGUACAGGAAGUAAAACUGAGGAGUUUUUGCAUUUGACCCUGUGUCUGCAGCUCAGCAUCCAAAGAGCCCACCAACCUUCCAAAAGGAAAAGACUUGUGCAUUGAACACACUCAGGCUUUCUUUUUAUCCCUCAAUGAUACAAUGUAACUAUUUACACAUCAUUUAUGUUAUACUAUGUGCUGCAAGUCACCUAGAGAUGACCGCAGCUGUGAAGGCGGAGUAUCCAUGCACUGUGUACCUAUAAGGAGUCCCGGAGCCAGUCCCCUGUAGAUACUGAGAGACAAGCAAUGCUGCAUUUCAGCUAACUAGGGGAGAUUGCCUUUGUCUAACCGUACAGAAGAACCCCUCUGUACUCUAGCAGGAUGCCAGUGUGGUCUGUGAAGGUAUCUAGGAAACUACAGUCCCACAACAUACAGAGACUCUAAUCCAAGCCAAGGGUGCUUGUCACUGCCAAAGAGAAGGCUAUGAGCCCCCGCACACCUCUGGAGCCCUGAUUUCCAGAUGUCCUGAAAACAGCAUCAUGCCUCUGCGUCCACUCAGCUCCCGCUCUGCAUUUGCUUUGGCUUGAGUCUUUCCUGUUUCUGAGAUGCCCUCCUCCCAGAGUCGGUCAGCUCACUUCCUGUGCUUCCAGAAGCUUGGUUGUUUUCCACACUGUUUCAUCCCCAUAGAAGACCCAGGUCUCUCGGUGCCAUUGACAUCUGUGAGAGUCAUAGGUUUACUGAAAUAGUCAACGUGUUGUUAAGCUGAUAAAGGCUCUGAGCUAACGAACGGGUGCUGCCUCCCACAGUAGAGCCAGGCUAAUGUAAUGGUCCCCGUUCCAUAAAUGGGAAAACAGGAAACUGAGGCUCUGAGAAAUUGGAUAAGUGCUCCAGGAUCCCCAGCAGCCAAGGCGCCUCAAAUGCCCUAAACAGUUUUUUAUCUGAGCUGAAGCAGGACCCUUCCAGUUACCCUCCCUGCAUGGUAGACACCCAAGAAAAAUGACAUUUAUUUUGCU
rnacentral:lncRNA from 1 species